rnacentral:rRNA from 1 species
GACGUAGGGUGCGAGCGUUGUCCGGAUUUAUUGGGCGUAAAGAGCGUGUAGGCGGCCAGGUAGGUCCGCUGUGAAAACUCGAGGCUCAACCUCGAGAUGUCGGCGGAAACCAUCUGGCUAGAGUCCGGAAGAGGAGAGUGGAAUUCCUGGUGUAGCGGUGAAAUGCGCAGAUAUCAGGAAGAACACCCGUGGCGAAGGCGGCUCUCUGGGACGGUACUGACGCUGAGACGGCGAAA